rnacentral:tRNA from 1 species
GGGACCAUGAUGGAAUUGGUAGACAUUGCGGACUUAAAAUCCGUUGGCAUUACGCCGUGCGAGUUCAAGUCUCGCUGGUCCUA